rnacentral:rRNA from 1 species
UAGCCGUAAACGAUACUCGCUAGGUGUCGGCCACGGUGCGACCGUUGUCGGUGCCGUAGGGAAGCCGUGAAGCGAGCCACCUGGGAAGUACGGCCGCAAGGCUGAAACUUAAAGGAAUUGGCGGGGGGAGCACAACAACGGGUGGAGCUUGCGGUUUAAUUGGACUCAACGCCGGGAAGCUCACCGGAUAAGACAGCGGAAUGAUUGCCGGGCUGAAGACCCUGCAUGACCAGCUGAGAGGAGGUGCAUGGCGUAGUCGUGU